GUGUCAGCCGCCGCGGUAAUACGGAGGAUGCGAGCGUUAUCCGGAUUUAUUGGGUUUAAAGGGUGCGUAGGCGGAUUAAUAAGUCAGUGGUGAAAACCUGCAGCUUAACUGUAGAAUUGCCAUUGAUACUGUUAGUCUUGAGUACAGUCAAGGUAGGCGGAAUGUGUAAUGUAGCGGUGAAAUGCUUAGAUAUUACACAGAACACCGAUUGCGAAGGCAGCUUACUGGGCCAUUACUGACGCUGAGGCACGAAAGCGUGGGGAGCGAACAGGAUUAGAUACCCUGGUAGUCCACGCCGUAAACGAUGAUCACUCGCUGUUGGCGAUACACAGUCAGCGGCUAAGCAAAAGCAUUAAGUGAUCCACCUGGGGAGUACGGCCGCAAGGCUGAAACUCAAAUGAAUUGACGGGG
rnacentral:rRNA from 1 species